CAGCCAUCUUAGGAUUCUCCUUCCACCUUCCGCGCACGGUCCAUCUGUCGCAGCCUUCGUCAUUUUAUCCUUCUUCCUCCUGAGUUCACUCUCUUCUAACCUCUUUUGCCUAUCCUUAGACCGCCUCUUUUGACUCACAGCGCUGCGCUGUGUGAACGUCGGCAAGCGCAUGGCGAUACAUUUUCGUGCGUGUCUUUUCAUGGAAAAUCGACGACAACGACGACAACGAUGACGAGAAUUUCGGAAGGCUGUAUACAUCAAGAGUUAACGAAACUACCGAAAAGCCAAAACGGCAAGCGCCGCAUCAAGAAAAAGAGGAAGAAAAGAGUAUGCAGCAGAAGUUUAAAAAUAUUUGGGGGAGAGGAAAAAGCGGAGAGCAGAAAGGGAAAAAUCGUGAAAGGAAGGCGAAGGAUCUGGAGGAUCUGGAGCGAGCUAGUGGGCGGAGAUAAUGGGAGUCUUGAAAUUGGAUUAUCAAUCUCCUCUCGGCUCCUCGACCUCUUGCGCAGGUAACGAUGAAAAAGGUGUUCAACUCGGGAACAGCACAAACGAACGCGAAUUCAAACGAAAGAAAAGAAAAGAAAAAACCAAGGAUAAUUUUUAGAAAAAAAGCUGGACAAGGGAAAGAAGAGAGGCGAGGUCCCUCCGGCGUAAAAAUUUUAAACGAGGUCCAAGAGAGCCACUCUUCGGGAACUUCGUAUCAUCUAUUGUUCCUGGCCGACGUUGCUACGACGAUGCUCGUUCCGAGAUUCGCGUAGAUUUACGAACCAAGUAUAAACAUUGAGAAGAUUACGGGGCAGAGCUCAUUUUAAGUUCUAACGAGCUCCCCUCGGCUCGGUGUCGCCGGCAUUAUCAAAUAAUUGAGAGAUGUAACUCACCGCUAUCUACGCUGCACCCUCGCCUACCGUCUCCCCUAUUCUUGUCACUCCUUUCCACCAACUAAGCCACGUACGAUUCGAUACCCCUUUUUCGUUUGUUUUAUUUCCUUGUUGUUUCUCCAUUUUGGAAAAAAAUGUGUGAAAAUCGAUCAUUAUAUAUUUAUUUUUAUUAUUUUCUUUUUUUUUCAAAAUGAAGAAAGUUUUUUUCGCAAAAUCUUCGAGCACUUUUAGAUCUCCAUUUCGAAAUGAAAUGUUAGAACAUUUGCAAAAUGUGACUAAGAGCGACACCUGUUGUUAUUACCAAUAUAUUAAUGUGUUAUCGUCGAAUUAAAUAUAUUAUAUAUUUGGUCGUGAAAUAUAUAUUUUAAUGUGGUUUAAAAUUUAAAAA